AUUAACUGCCGUAUAGGCAGCUUAGAAA
rnacentral:other from 1 species